UACCUGGGGGACAGGCCAGUGCACCCCCCACGGCCCCCCCACGGCUGCCUGUCCCUCUGGUGGCCUCGGUGCUUGGCCUGGGAUAGUACCUGGGGGACAGGCCAGUGCACCCCCCACGGCCCCCCCACGGCUGCCUGUCCCUCUGGUGGCCUCGGUGCUUGGCCUGGGAUACUACCUGGGGGACAGGCCAGUGCACCCCCUACGGCCCCCCCACACCACUCCCCCUAUGGCCCCCCAUGGCCGCCUGUCCCUCCUGUCACUCUGCAGUGGGCUGUCGUUGGAGACACCUUCCCCCACUCCCCCCGCGGCCCCCCAUGGCCGCCUGUCCCUCCUGUCCCUCUGCAGUGGGCUGUCGUCGGCGACACCUUCCCCCACUCCCCCCAUGGCCCCCCAUGGCUGCCCGUCCCUCCUGUCCCUCCCGUCCCUCCUGUCCCUCUGCAGUAGGCGGUCAUCGGCGACACCUUCCCCCACUGCCCCCAUGGCCGCCCGUCCCUCCUGUCCCUCCUGUCCCUCUGCAGUGGGCUGUCGUCGGCGACACCUUCCCCGUCGGAUGCCGUCCGCAGGCCUCCGUGGUUUUCUGCGACUCCACCUUCCAGGACAACCCUGACCUCCAGGAUCCUCGAUACAGGUGCUCCCUGUGUCCUGGGGCCAUGACGGUGAGGCCCAGAGGCGGGCAGUGGGGCGGUGGGGGAUGGUGGGGCAGAGGCGGUGCCUGCUGGUGACACCCUCUCCCCACAGAGUACAUGUACCAGGUGAUGAAGUUUAACAAGUUCUCACUGCCCCCUGAGGUAGGUGGGGGGAGGGGCAACGCAGCCCAUCCACCAGGCCCGGUCCUGCAGCCCCGAGUGAGCUGCUGGGUGGCCUUGCCCGCAGGCUUUCUACAUGAUCCG
rnacentral:lncRNA from 1 species